UACGGAGGGUGCGAGCGUUGUCCGGAAUCAUUGGGCGUAAAGGGCGCGUAGGUGGCCCGGUCAGUUCGUGGUGAAAGCGCGGGGCUCAACCCUGCGUCGGCCAUGAAUACUGCCGCGGCUGGAGCACUGUAGAGGCAGGCGGAAUUCCGGGUGUAGCGGUGGGAUGCGUAGAGAUCCGGAAGAACACCGGUGGCGAAGGCGGCCUGCUGGGCAGUUGCUGACACUGAGGCGCGACAGCGUGGGGAGCAAACAGG
rnacentral:rRNA from 1 species